rnacentral:rRNA from 1 species
AUACCGAAAGGUAUGCUAAUACGAGAUAAUAUGCUUUUAUCGCAUGGUAGAAGUAUCAAAGCUCCGGCGGUACAGGAUGGACCCGCGUCUGAUUAGCUAGUUGGUGAGGUAACGGCUCACCAAGGCGACGAUCAGUAGCCGACCUGAGAGGGUGAUCGGCCACAUUGGAACUGAGACACGGUCCAAACUCCUACGGGAGGCAGCAGUGGGGAAUAUUGCACAAGGGGAGAAAGCCUGAUGCAGCAACGCCGCGUG